GCUAAUGAAAAAAUAGAAAGAUUUCAUAGGAUUCGAUAAAGAGAAUGUAAGUGGUGAGUGGGCAGAAGAUAAAUAGAGAGAGAAAGAAAAGACCAAAAAGAGCAAAAGGCACUAAAUUGUUUAUGUGCUAGAGUGAGAGUCAAGAUCUUCCGUCCUUUUGAACACUUUGCUUUGUAAAGCAUGAAAGGCUUAGGAUUUGACUGCCCCAAUGGAGAUCGUCAAAUAAGGUAUAGAGCCUUUUCAAUGAUUCCUCUCCCAUUGCAAUACAAGGAUUAUCGAGAGACUGAGCGCCUCAUCAUAGUCAAUCUCCUUCUGGAUAAUGAUAUCCACCUAGACCUUGAAAAGAUCUUCUGCGUCUAUUCGGGCUUGUUCAAUGACUUCAACGAAGGGAAAAUGUUGGAAAUAAAGAUAAUAGAAAUAGAAAUUUGGUUGGCUUAAAAAAUAAGAAUAAUUGAGAAAGAUAAAUAUUCUUAUGUUUAAAAUAAGAAGAAGAUACCAUUUUUCAUGUAAUCAUGGAUCUAAGUUCAUUCGCUCUAUUUACUAUCCCAAGUGGUAUACCGAAAGGAAAAAAAUGAAGCUGACUGUUAAUGACUAGUUUGAACAACAGGAGCAAUAUGCAUCAUUCCUCCCAUUCUAUGGAGACUAGUCUCGACAUCAAAGUGAAUUAAAUACCAUUAUCAACACUUGUUUGAUUAGCCAACGGUUGAAUAGGCAUCAUCAUGCCUAGCUAAGUAAUUUCAAUUUACAUUAAGCCUGUAUAAGCUGUGAUCAGAGAACAAUAGAGAAAUAUUACAAAGAUUAGCCAAAUGGUCAUCACUAAAAGCCUUUACUGCAUGGGUACCUAUGCAAACUACUUGGAUGUCACACAUUUUAUAAUGAUUUAACAGUCCACUCAGAGCAGACAUUCUGAUGAAGAAUACUGCACGAGAGAAAACCAACAUGCAGAAAAGAUUAACCAACUUUCAGAUAUUGCCAAGCACAAAUUUAAGAUUAUUCAAUUUCCUGAUCAACGAAGCAAUUCAACUUGUUCAAAACCAUCAAAUAAUCCUAGCUCCUGAUCAUUAAAACUAGCCACAAGGUUAACAGCUUAACACUCAAAUCUUUUUGACCAAUGAUCGUCACACUGCAACAUAAAAUGAUUUAAAAAUCAAAGAAACGAAUUAAAAGUUGAGGGCUAGUGUUGCAAGACUAGCAACGAAUUAACUCAUUCAUUUUAUGACCAGCAAUUUUAAGUCCUAGUGUAACAAGAUAAUCAAAACCCUUCUUUGUUACUUUCAAGCAGAAAAGGGGGCAUAACAGUUUCUUAGUCAUGAUAUUUUAACAAGGACUUUGUGAAUGUUCAUAUUUUGAAGCUAGCAUAUGAAAAUUUUUAAAAAUUGAGGGAUUG
rnacentral:misc_RNA from 1 species